GACGAACGCUGGCGGCGUGCUUAACACAUGCAAGUCGAACGGUGACCUCGAGAGCUUGCUCUCGAGUGAUCAGUGGCGAACGGGUGAGUAACACGUGAGUAACCUACCCCCGACUCUGGAAUAACAAUUGGAAACAGUUGCUAAUACCGGAUACGACACGAACGGGCAUCCGCAUCGUGUGGAAAGUUUUUCGGUCUGGGAUGGACUCGCGGCCUAUCAGCUUGUUGGUGAGGUAACGGCUCACCAAGGCGACGACGGGUAGCCGGCCUGAGAGGGCGACCGGCCGCCCUGGGACUGAGACACGGCCCAGACUCCUACGGGAGGCAGCAGUGGGGAAUAUUGCACAAUGGGCGAAAGCCUGAUGCAGCGACGCCGCGUGAGGGAUGACGGCCUUCGGGUUGUAAACCUCUUUCAGUAGGGAAGAAGCGAAAGUGACGGUACCUACAGAAGGAGCACCGGCUAACUACGUGCCAGCCGCCGCAGUAAAAC
rnacentral:rRNA from 1 species